rnacentral:rRNA from 1 species
AUUGAACGCUGGCGGCAGGCUUAACACAUGCAAGUCGAGCGGUAACAGAGAGAAGCUUGCUUCUCUGCUGACGAGCGGCGGACGGGUGAGUAAUGCCUAGGAAUCUGCCUAGUAGUGGGGGAUAACUUGCCGAAAGGUAAGCUAAUACCGCAUACGUCCUACGGGAGAAAGGAGGGGACCUUCGGGCCUUUCGCUAUUAGAUGAGCCUAGGUCGGAUUAGUUAGUUGGUGAGGUAAUGGCUCACCAAGACCGCGAUCCGUAACUGGUCUGAGAGGAUGAUCAGUCACACUGGAACUGAGACACGGUCCAGACUCCUACGGGAGGCAGCAGUGGGGAAUAUUGGACAAUGGGGGGAACCCUGAUCCAGCCAUGCCGCGUGUGUGAAGAAGGUCUUAGGAUUGUAAAGCACUUUAAGUUGGGAGGAAGAGCAGUUAACUAAUAUUUGACUGUUUUGACGUUACCGACAGAAUAAGCACCGGCGAACUUCGU